AGGAUUUACUUCACAGUGGAAUUGGCCCUGGCUAGGACCGGUUUUAGAUUGUCUUGGGGGGGUCUUGGACUUUCUUUGGGAGUAAUUUAGGUGUGGUUUUGGUCCUCAUUUUGCACUGGGUUUAGACUUUUUUAAGGACUGGUUUCAAGGACUGUCUUAGGCAUGUCUCAGACUUUUUUAACUCUCAAGAACAUCAAACCUACCAUCAAGCAUGGUGGUGGCAGUAUCAUGCUCUGCACAAAGUAAAUGGAAUAAUGAAGAAGCAGGAUCACCUCCACAUUCUUCAGGAAAACCUAAAAUCAUCAGCAGAAGGUCCAUCUUGGACACAGUUGGACGUUUCAAUGAGACAAUGAGCCCAAACACACAUCAGACGUGGUAAAGAAAUGGUUCCAUCAGGCUAGAAUGAAGGUUCUAGACUGGUCUCCCCAAAGUCCUGACUUAAACCCACCAAGAACCUGACUGAUGGACUGAUGAAGAAACAAGCCUGAGUCAGAAAGACAACAAAUUUAUUUGUCAUGAGGAAGGUCAAAGAUACAACCAGAAGCUUGUAAAUGGAAGAUAAAAGUCUGUAACUGAGGUGAAAAUCACCAAAGGGACACUGAACCAAAUAUUAGCAUUGCUCUAUGUGUAUUUCUGACCCAGCAGAUUUUGUAAUUUUCUAGAAGACCUUUAAUAAAUCUAUGAAAUAACCAAAAUGCGUGAUUGUGUUUUGUGACAAAGAUUCAUGUCUUUCAAUGAUUCCAUCAUAGAAAAUUAAGAGUUACAAGAGUCAUUGGAAAAUAAACACUGCUGUGAUAUACAUGGUCUGUACAAGUGGAUGGAAACUUUUGUUCAUGACUGUAUGUAGACCAGGGCUUUUGCUACAAUAACUUUUUUUUAAACCUUUCACCUUGAAGCAGCUCUCGUGCUUCUGAAGAAGGCGAGAGCUGCUCAUUGAAACUGUCAAGGUAAUCAUCAUUUAUCUAUUCACCUUAUGUCUGAACAGAAGAAGUCAAAACUGCUGCACGAAUAGAAGAAGUGAGCAUCCUGUGUGUGUGUGUGACUCUACACACACCUGUCAUCAGUUAUAGCCACUAGUUAACCACACACAGCCUGCUGAGGGGGCAGAGUAUGCCAGGAUUCUUUUUGUUUCUAGAUGUUUCUGUUGGCAAAGUGCAUUAGAGAGAUGAUUCAUUUUACUGUCAAUGAGUUGCAGUGUUUUUCCUGUUUGUAGAGACUGUGAGACAUGGGCUAUUUAUUUUACUAAACCUAUGCAAUGUACCUGCAUAUUCACAUAAUUUUGGAUUAUUACAGCAUAAAUACAAUAACAAUAAUAAUUAGAAGAAUUUGAAUUGUGAUUUUCUCAACCUCUCAUUUAAACAUAUCAGUACUUGUUUAUAACAUUUGUAUGUAUACACAUAAAUUAUAACUGAUAUCAGGCAUAACUGAUUUCAGAUAUUUAUUUAAAAAAACUGAGAUGUUAACUCAUUAUUUGGUCAACUAUGCUACGGACAAAAACUUAAAUUUUAACUUUGGGUAAAUGUCAGAUAUUUAGACAAACCAUUGUUCUUGGAAGAAUAUGUGUCCACUUGCCUACAUUUUCAGUUAUAAUCCGCAAUUAAUAAAGAAAAUGCAGAUUUUUUUGCAUUAAAACCCCUAAUUUCACAGAAUGCAGUUAACAGUCCAG
ensembl:lncRNA